rnacentral:piRNA from 1 species
UACUCUUAAGUGGGGAAAGGCAAAA